ACGGAAGGCAGCAGUGAGGAAUAUUGGUCAAUGGGCGGAAGCCUGAACCAGCCAUGCCGCGUGAAGGAAUAAGGCCCUAUGGGUCGUAAACUUCUUUUGACGGGGAGCAAUAAGGCGUACGUGUACGCCGAUGAGAGUACUCGUCGAAUAAGCAUCGGCUAACUCCGUGCCAGCAGCCGCGGUAAUACGGAGGAUGCAAGCGUUAUCCGGAUUUAUUGGGUUUAAAGGGUGCGUAGGCUGUGCGUCAAGUCAGCGGUGAAAGCCCGGGGCUCAACUCCGGAACUGCCGUUGAUACUGUCGCGCUGGAAUACGGAUGCCGUGGGAGGAAUGAGUAGUGUAGCGGUGAAAUGCAUAGAUAUUACUCAGAACACCGAUUGCGAAGGCAUCUCACGAAUCCGUCAUUGACGCUGAGGCACGAAAGCGUGGGGAUCAAACAGGAUUAGAUACCCUGGUA
rnacentral:rRNA from 1 species